GACGAACGCUGGCGGGGUGCUUAACACAUGCAAGUCGAGCGGUAAGGCCCUUUCGGGGGUACACGAGCGGCGAACGGGUGAGUAACACGUGGGUGACCUGCCCUCAGCUCUGGGAUAAGCCUGGGAAACUGGGUCUAAUACCGGAUAUGACUCCAUGACGCAUGUUGUGGGGUGGAAAGCCUUGUGCGGCUGAGGAUGGGCCCGCGGCCUAUCAGCUUGUUGGUGGGGUGAUGGCCUACCAAGGCGACGACGGGUAGCCGGCCUGAGAGGGCGACCGGCCACACUGGGACUGAGACACGGCCCAGACUCCUACGGGAGGCAGCAGUGGGGAAUCUUGCGCAAUGGGCGAAAGCCUGACGCAGCGACGCCGCGUGAGGGAUGACGGCCU
rnacentral:rRNA from 1 species